CACUAUCGUUAACUGAAUACAUAGGUUAACGAGGCGAACCGGGGGAACUGAAACAUCUAAGUACCCCGAGGAAAAGAAAUCAACCGAGAUUCCCCCAGUAGCGGCGAGCGAACGGGGAGCAGCCCAGAGUCUGAAUCAGCUUGUGUGUUAGUGGAAGCGUCUGGAAAGUCGCACGGUACAGGGUGACAGUCCCGUACACGAAAGCACACAGGCUGUGAACUCGAAGAGUAGGGCGGGACACGUGGUAUCCUGUCUGAAUAUGGGGGGACCAUCCUCCAAGGCUAAAUACUCCUGACUGACCGAUAGUGAACCAGUACCGUGAGGGAAAGGCGAAAAGAACCCCGGCGAGGGGAGUGAAAAAGAACCUGAAACCGUGUACGUACAAGCAGUGGGAGCACCUUCGUGGUGUGACUGCGUACCUUUUGUAUAAUGGGUCAGCGACUUAUAUUCUGUAGCAAGGUUAACCGUAUAGGGGAGCCGAAGGGAAACCGAGUCUUAACUGGGCGUUAAGUUGCAGGGUAUAGACCCGAAACCCGGUGAUCUAGCCAUGGGCAGGUUGAAGGUUGGGUAACACUAACUGGAGGACCGAACCGACUAAUGUUGAAAAAUUAGCGGAUGACUUGUGGCUGGGGGUGAAAGGCCAAUCAAACCGGGAGAUAGCUGGUUCUCCCCGAAAGCUAUUUAGGUAGCGCCUCGUGAACUCAUCUUCGGGGGUAGAGCACUGUUUCGGCUAGGGGGCCAUCCCGGCUUACCAACCCGAUGCAAACUACGAAUACCGAAGAAUGUUAUCACGGGAGACACACGGCGGGUGCUAACGUCCGUCGUGAAGAGGGAAACAACCCAGACCGCCAGCUAAGGUCCCAAAGUCAUGGUUAAGUGGGAAACGAUGUGGGAAGGCACAGACAGCCAGGAUGUUGGCUUAGAAGCAGCCAUCAUUUAAAGAAAGCGUAAUAGCUCACUGGUCGAGUCGGCCUGCGCGGAAGAUGUAACGGGGCUAAACCAUGCACCGAAGCUGCGGCAGCGAC
rnacentral:rRNA from 1 species